GCAUGUGGGAAGACUUACCAGCCAUAAGCAAACAAAUAAUGCACAUGGAAAAGGCAACCACCAUGAUAAUAGGCAACUGGAAAAGAGAACAGACACACCAGCUGUACUGUUUUAGUAAAAGAAAAAAGAAUCUGUACCUGAAGCUGGGCCUGGAGCGAACGACGGGCCAGCAGGCUCUGGAUCACGUUGGUUCUGUCCAGACAAUCCAUGCAGUUGCUGCGGAACACGCCUUCCUGGUUACUCACCACCAUGCCGGCAGAGUCCACUAGAAAAUAACUAAAACAUAUUUGUAUAAACACUCUCAUACCAAAGCAGCCAAGUCUACUACGGACAGACCUCUUACAACACAGGUCCACAUCAGAAACAUUAAAACUGGUAAAGUAAAAGGUCACAAAAGGAAAUGUACAGUCCAAGUGUAUCUGGUUACCAUGGACCAAAAAAGGAAGUUCGAAUAGCGAGGCAAGACGGCCCCCAUCCCAAAACAACUGUACCAUCGAGCUCAUUUCACCCAAGAGAUGUGAAAAAGGAGCGUCGGGAGUCCUGGAGAGGCUGCUCUGGACAUCGCCCUGCUGCCUAAAGGCCAGAAGAGGGCUUCCUUUGACAUCGUUAUUGUACCAAUGCCCCACACUUAAGGGUUUCUCCAAGCACAGUCCCUGUGCUGUCUCUACCAGAAUUCCCUGAGUUGUUUGUUAAAAAUGAAGAUGCUUGGCCUGAGACAAACUGAGUAAGAAUAUCUGAAGCAAGGGUUGGAUACUGCACAUUAAAAAUAUUUUAAAAUCCCUUCUUAAAAUGGGUAAUAUAUACAAAUAGUACAAAAUUUAUAACUUUUCCUUCUCCCCUUAACCACCCACAUGUCCAUAACCAUAGUUACCAAUUCCUGUGUUUCUUUCAUUUUUAACAGUCUUUUCAGAUAAUUCUAUGAACUCAAAAACCUGACAACACACAGUGUGGCAGUGAAGAGCAUGGGCUUUGGUUUGCUGGCCUCAGCUCCUUGGGCAACUUACUAGCUGUGUAACUUUAAAUAAUUAACCAAAUCUCUCAGAGCCUAAGUUUUUUCAUCCACAAAAUGGAGAUGACAUUAGGCUGCACUAAGGUUUAAAUAAGAUAAUAAAGUGCUUAGCAGGGUGUAUGGGACUGAACAUCCAAUGAAUACUAGGUAAUAUUUAUUGCAAUUAUUCCCCAAAAUCAAAAAGGGAGGGGGAAAUGCAAUAGAUUCACUAAGGGCUAAAAAUCUUGACCUUAAAAAUAAGGGCCUAAAAGAAUGUGUUUAGACUAAAAAUAUACAUAAGGUUCAUGCAGAACUGAUGAGGUUAAAAUAGUCUGUACAUACAGAGGGCAUGUGAGACCUGACACCACAUCAGAACUUAUAAAUACUUCAUAUUUUAUAAAUAUUAUUUUUUAAACUACACAGUAAGUCUAUGAGCUAGGUAUUAUGAUCUCUAUAGUUGGAAAAAAACAAGAUUUGAAGAUAACUAACUUCCCCGGGGUCACGUGACUAAUAAGAGAUUUCACACUGACUGGAGGACCCCGAAGCCUAGAUUCUUUCCUCUUCCCCAAAACUCCUGGGGAACAAAUGUCCAGAGAGGUCAUCAGAAAGUCCCUGGUGAAAGGGCCCUUGCCCCUGUGGACACAGUGAGUGCAGUGGAUACAGAUUCUGGUGUCCAUCCUCCCUUUCUUACACGCUUGUGUGGCAGCAGCUAACAGGAAAACCCAAGGAAGCCCCCUCUCUGACAAUGCGCCGCCCCAGCCAAGGUUUCUCUACCUCAAUAAUGAUACAGAUCACCCCUCUUCCCUAGCUGUGCUCGUAACGAGAACUCAUAGGGAAAAACAGUAGAUUUAACUAGCUAUGGCUGAUUACUUAGUAUGUAUAAAAAUAUUUUUUGAAAAGCUGGGCAAACAUCCACAGGAGAGGUUUUACUACGUUACUGUGUAACAAAUUAAAAAGUGCAUUUGGCUUGCCAGGGUUUUAACCCUGGUAAGAACAGGCAGAACAAAAUGAUAGGCUGGUUUACAGAUUCCUCAUUUUGGUUUUAAAACAGGUAAAGACUGGCAUGUGCACAAAGUCCAUACAGUAGGCCCGUGAACCCAGACAGUAACGUCCUACACCCACGUGAAAAGUAAGUACCACAGACAUUCAGACCCUUUCAUCCAUGAUUCCACCCUCAAGAAUUUGUUAGCAAACAAUUUAGCAGAAGUAAAAAUAUAUUUAUACCCAGAGUUAUUUACUGCAGCACUGUCUUUCAUGGUAGGAAGAGAAAUUUUGAAACAAACCAGAUGCCCAAUGUGAGCGAGAGCAUUUAACAGCAACUGUACACAGUGGAACACAGAAGAGCUAUUAAACGUUACCAUCAGAGACCAGAGCAAAGAUUGAAAAGUCCAGAAGAGAGAGAAGUGGCGAAGAUGGUAGAGAAGGAAGACCUUGAACUCACCUCUUCCUAUAGGCACAACUAUUCACAGGGCAACUACCUAUGAAAAUGACCUGAAGACUAAUAGAAAAGAUUUUUCACAACUGAAGAUAUAAAGAAGAAAGCAUUUCCUCCAAGAUCAGGAAGAAGAAAUAAACUGUCACUGUUUGCAGAUGACAUGAUAGCAUAUACAGAAAACCCUAAAGACCAAAAAAACUAGUACAAUAAAUGAAUUUAGUAAAAUAGCAGGAUAUAAAUUAAUAUACAGAAAUCAGUUGCAUUUCUAUAUGCUAACAGUGAACUAACAGGAAGAGAAAUGAAGGAGACAAUCCUAUUUACAACUGCAUGAAAAAUAAUAAAAUAUCUAGGAAUAAAUCUAAGCAAGGCGGUAAGAGAUCUGUUAUUGUAAAACUGUAAGACAUCAAUAACAGAAGACAACAUAAACAGACUCAUAGAUACAGAAUAAACUGGUGGUUGCCAGUAGGGAGGGGGGUGGGAGAGAUGAGUGAAACAGGCGAGGAUGAGUAAUUAGAGACAAACUUCCAGUUAUAAAAUAAAGUCAUGGGGAUGUAACGUACAGUAUAAGGAAGACAGUCAAUAACAUUGUAGUAACUUUGUACGGUGACAGACGGUGACUAGACUUAUCAUGGUGAUCAUUUUAUGAUGCAUAAAAAUACUGAAUUACUAUGUUGUACACCUGAAAUGAAUAUAGUAAGUUUAUUGUACUUCAAUAAGAAAGAACAGAAGAUCCAGUAAAAGUAAUGUUUAUUUUCUGAUAAUCAUUUUAGCUGACUUUCCCAAGGAAUACCGAGACUGACAUUUUCACCUUGUUUUAAAAAGUA